rnacentral:rRNA from 1 species
CCUACGGGUGGCAGCAGUGGGGAAUAUUGGACAAUGGGGGGAACCCUGAUCCAGCGACGCCGCGUGAGUGAAGAAGUAUUUCGGUUUGUAAAGCUCUAUCAUCAGGGACGAAAGAAAUGACGGUACCUGACUAAGAAGCCCCGGCUAACUACGUGCCAGCAGCCGCGGUAAUACGUAGGGGGCAAGCGUUAUCCGGAUUUACUGGGUGUAAAGGGAGAGUAGACGGGGAUGCAAGUCUGAAGUGAAAGGCGGGGGCCCAACCGCAGGAGUGCAUUGGAAACUGUAUGGCUGGAGUGCAGGAGAGGUAAGUGGAAUUCCUAGUGUAGCGGUGGAAUGCGUAGAUAUCAGGAGGAACACCAGUGGCGAAGGCGGCUUACUGGACAGUAACUGACGUUGAGGCUCGAAAGCGUGGGGAGCAAACAGGAUUAGAUACCCUGGUAGUC